UGGACGCAUCCUUUUGAUUAGGGGCCCUCACUCACGCUGGCUGCGUCGGCUGUUCCAGGUUUAAGGCGAAAUCCGAGGAGGGUACGGAGAUCUGACUGCCGAUCGCCUAGAACACUUCGCUAAUGAGAACGGGGAUCGGCAAGAGACGCAGCUUCGAUCGCUUCGACGGGUACUCGGAGCGUCCCGGGCCGGCAGCUCAACGUGCGCACGGCCGAGUACAUCAAGGACCCACAGUGUUGCGGAGUUGCCGUGCACGUCGAUUGCAGCGCCCUCUGUCCACCCGUCGUGGCCGUGAGUGGCGUGCUCCGCAGAUGUGCCGCUGUCUGCUCGUCAGCGAUGGUUGUGGCUGCAUCUAUGGGGACACUGAUGGUGGCCUUCCUCGACGUUGCCAGGCACGAAAUUUCAAGGCAACGGUAAGGGACACUUUCCAUCCUCAGUGAAAAAUCAGUCGCGUGCUUCAAAGUCACGACCUCAAUGGGAACGCAGUCAUCGUACUCUGCCCGCUGCCACCAGCGGUUAUUCCAGUGGCGGAGAUGCACAAAGCACACCGGCUGUGGCGAUCGGUUGCGUGCAGCGCGCUCGUAUGUUCCCCCGUUGGCCUUUCUCCUAAUACCUGAAGUAUGUUCAAAUU